rnacentral:rRNA from 1 species
GCCGAACGCUGGCGGCGUGCCUAAUACAUGCAAGUCGAACGAGUGGCGGACGGGUGAGUGAUGCUUGGGAAUCUGGCUUAUGGGGGGGAUAACGACGGGAACCUGUCGCUAAUACCGCGUACCAUAGGAUGAGCCCAAGUGGGAUGAGGUAGUUGGGGGGGUAAUGGCCUACCAAGCCGACGAUCUCUAGCUGGUCUGAGAGGGUGACCGGCCACACUGGGACUGAGACACGGCCCGGACUCCUACGGGAGGCAGCAGUGGGGAAUAUUGGGCAAUGGAGGAAAGCUGACGCAGCCAUGCCGCGUGAAUGAAGAAGGCUUUCGGGUUGUAAAGUUCUGUUGGUGACGAGGCGUUAACCAAAGAAGAAGCAACGGCUAACUCCGUGCCAGCAGCCGCGGUAAUUC